GCUGCUCUUAACAAACGCCGCACAUAUACCGGCACAUUCACCUGGGUGUCUUUGAGUGACCUAACGUGCUCUCAAGGAUUGGUAAAUGGGGUAUAUGGAGGAUAAAA
rnacentral:sRNA from 1 species